rnacentral:lncRNA from 1 species
GGAAGAAAAGCUCUUGCCACGGGAGCUGCCUAUUCACACCAGGGCUGGGAUUCGAACCUCUAGUGCUCUGCCCCCAAGCCUGAUUCAUCUAGGAAUACCCUGGAGGCUACCCUACCUGGCUUCAUAACUCCCAGCUUCCUUUGUGCUCGUGGGACAGUUAGGCGAGGAAGAUGGUCAGGAGUUGCAGGUGUGAACCCUCAUCUCUCAGAGCCCCCCAUGGGCACCUGGCAUUGUGCUCCCAUUUGCACAGCUCCGCUUUCCACGGAGACAAAGCAAGGGGUACAGUGUCUUCCCUCCCCUCUCAAAGUGCAUCUCACCGUGCCCACGCCUUGAGGGCUAAGGCUCUGAGACCAUCACCGAGUGUCCAUGUUCUCUGCCCCUGUGCUCCUCCUGGGGCUACACAGAGACACCCCACUGCUCCCCUUUCCAGAGGCCUGGAUCCAGCUUGCCCCAGCUGGGGACCCCGAGCAAGCUCCUUUCCCUCUCUCUCCUUGGCACUGCCGUCUGUGGAAGGGGCAGAACAAGGCCUGUGAUCAAAGACGACGUCUGGGAAAGCAGGCUCGCCCACGCUGAGGCUGUGUCAUGACUACUGCGCAGGCUCCUGGUCCUUGCCCCAUUGUUCUAUGGAUGUAACUGUCUUAUCCCAGCAAGCACAAUUAAGCACCAGCUCAGUAACCAGUGACAGGGCAUGGCCAUUGGCUUUGAACUUAGGAGCCCUCCUAGUUCCGAGUACCUGGAGACAGACCCUGAAGGUGGGUUCGAGGAGAUGGAGCUAAAAGUCAUUGCCUAGGAGUCCGUUGGUGGAUGAAAUUAAUUAAUUAACAAUUUCGCUAAGCACCUGGGCCUCCUGCAUAUCCUGUUCGUUUGCAAGCGUUAUUCUUAGCCAAGGAAAAGAGAAAGCUGGGUCUCCUCCAAGGACACUUUGACAGGUGUGGGGAACAUUCCUUGCUGAUGACAGCAAAGAUUUGCUCCAAAUGUUUUCUCUGUGGGAAGCGACUCCUUCAAAUUAUGCCCCCCCCCUUAAUCUCUGUUUAUGGAUGCACACUUCUAACCCUGGCGCCCUCACAGCAGUCCUAGGAUGCCGAAGGUACUUUGAGAUGCUCCCAUUUUUACUGAUGGGGAAACUGAGACCUACUGAAGCUAAUCCACUUGUCCAAGG